GACGCUGACUAUAGAUAUGCAAAUGCUAUUGGACAAGGCUGCCACUUAAUUGCCUGUAAUCAGCUCCCCAAGCAAGCACACUUUUAUCUACAAUCAAGCUACUAGGUCAUCAAAGAAGCACUUUUGUUGCUGAGGGUCAUAAUGCCGAGGUGAGAACAGGAAUAUUACAAUCAUAUAAAAAGACCUAAUUUUACUUGUCAUCUCUCUCAAACCAUUCUCAAUAUCAAACCAUGGAGAAGAUCCAGCAAGUUUCUGGGAAGAGAAAUCCUGUUCCACGUGAGGAGCAUCUCUCUGAAGAGCGUUUGUGUUGUACUGGUCUGUCGUGCUUUCACG